AGAGUUUGAUCCUGGCUCAGGAUGAACGCUGGCGGCGUGCCUAACACAUGCAAGUCGAACGAAGACUGUGUGACGGAACUCUCCGGAGGGAAGACGCGCAGGACUGAGUGGCGGACGGGUGAGUAACGCGUGGGUACCCUGCCCUGUACAGGGGGACAACAGCUGGAAACGGCUGCUAAUACCGCAUAAGCCUACAGUACCGCAUGGUACAGCAGGAAAAACUCCGGUGGUACAGGAUGGGCCCGCGUCUGAUUAGUUAGUUGGCAGGGUAACGGCCUACCAAGACAACGAUCAGUAGCCGGCUUGAGAGAGUGAACGGCCACAUUGGGACUGAGACACGGCCCAAACUCCUACGGGAGGCAGCAGUGGGGAAUAUUGCACAAUGGGGGAAACCCUGAUGCAGCAACGCCGCGUGAGUGAAGAAGUAUUUCGGUAUGUAAAGCUCUAUCAGCAGGGAAGAAAAUGACGGUACCUGACUAAGAAGCUCCGGCUAAAUACGUGCCAGCAGCCGCGGUAAUACGUAUGGAGCAAGCGUUAUCCGGAUUUACUGGGUGUAAAGGGAGCGCAGGCGGUACGGCAAGUUCCGAUGUGAAAACCCGGGGCUCAACCCCGGGACUGAAUUGGAAACUGCCGCACUAGAGUGCCGGAGAGGUAAGUGGAAUUCCUAGUGUAGCGGUGAAAUGCGUAGAUAUUAGGAGAAACACCAGUGGCGAAGGCGGCUUACUGGACGGUAACUGACGCUGAGGCUCGAAAGCGUGGGGAGCAAACAAAAGUAGAUACCCUGGUAGUCCACGCCGUAAAC
rnacentral:rRNA from 1 species